UACGGGGGGGCAAGCGUUGUUCGGAAUUACUGGGCGUAAAGGGCUCGUAGGCGGCCAACUAAGUCAGACGUGAAAUCCCUAGGCUCAACCUAGGAACUGCGUCUGAUACUGGAUGGCUUGAAUCCGGGAGAGGGAUGCAGAAUUCCAGGUGUAGCGGUGAAAUGCGUAGAUAUCUGGAGGAAUACCGGUGGCGAAGGCGGCAUCCUGGACCGGCAUUGACGCUGAGGAGCGAAAGCCAGGGGAGCAAACGGG
rnacentral:rRNA from 1 species